rnacentral:tRNA from 1 species
GUAGAAGUGUCUGAGUGGUUGAAAGAGCUAGUCUUGAAAACUAGUGAUUCCGAGAGGAACCGUGGGUUCGAAUCCCACCUUCUACG